AAUGAACGCUGGCGGCAGGCCUAACACAUGCAAGUCGAACGAGGCAGCAAUGCCUAGUGGCGGACGGGUGAGUAACGCGUGGGAACGUGCCCCUUGGUACGGAAUAGCCCUGGGAAACUGGGAGUAAUACCGUAUGUGGUCGAGAGACGAAAGAUUUAUCGCCAAGGGAUCGGCCCGCGUUGGAUUAGGUAGUUGGUGGGGUAAUGGCCUACCAAGCCGACGAUCCAUAGCUGGUUUGAGAGGAUGAUCAGCCACACUGGGACUGAGACACGGCCCAGACUCCUACGGGAGGCAGCAGUGGGGAAACGUAGACAAUGGGGGAAACCCUGAUCUAGCCAUGCCGCGUGAUCGAUGAAGGCCUUAGGGUUGUAAAGAUCUUUCAGUGGGGAAGAUAAUGACGGUACCCACAGAAGAAGCCCCGGCUAACUCCGUGCCAGCAGCCGCCGUAA
rnacentral:rRNA from 1 species